CAGUUCAAAUCCGGGUGCCGCCU
rnacentral:tRNA from 1 species